rnacentral:rRNA from 1 species
UACGUAGGUGGCAAGCGUUAUCCGGAUUUACUGGGUGUAAAGGGCGUGUAGGCGGGACUGCAAGUCAGAUGUGAAAAUUAUGGGCUCAACCCAUAACCUGCAUUUGAAACUGUAGUUCUUGAGUGAUGGAGAGGCAGGCGGAAUUCCGUGUGUAGCGGUGAAAUGCGUAGAGAUUAGGAAGGACACCAGUGGCGAAGGCGAUUCUCUGGACUGUAACUGACGCUGAGGCUCGAAAGCAUGGGUAGCGAACAGG